CGCCAGGCGGAUCCGCGGCGGCGACAACCGGAGGCGACGAGGACCAAAAUCCAGGUCGGUGCAUCUUCCCCUCGCUUUUCUCUCGCCACAAAGGGCGUGCUGCUGGCGGGCGUGCAGGGCGAGCUGUGGCGCCUGAGCGACGGCGCUGGGAAGGUGGCCGGCAUGAUCGGGUGGCUGCCGGAGAAGGCCGUCACGUUCGUGGACAACCACGACACCGGGUCGACGCAGGGGCUGUGGCCGUUCCUGGCCGACAAGGUCAUGCAGGGCUACGCCUACAUCCUCACACACCCAGGGGCUCCCCUGCAUCGUAAGCAUCAUCUCUCCCUUUACAUAAGGCUCUCUCAAUGCAGUUCUACCACCACAUGUUUUCUCAUAUUUGUUUAUGCAGAUUUGGUUUCUUUACACCUACAAGGUGUUUGAUGAAAUUUCAAGGAGGCUAGGGAGGAUUGAUCUAUGUAGGCCAUGUGAUUUGGUUUCUCUACGCCUGCAAGGUCUUCAAAAGUAUUAGUUACAGUCAACCAUGAUGUGUGACUGCUAUUGGGAAUUAGUUUUGCCUAUAGCAAGGAUAACAUAAUAUAAGCUUGAAGUUAGUUAUGUCAUGCAGAUGUAUAUUGCUUACUCCACUUCUUCUAACAUGAUUGAUGUGUUUUUGUUGAAGGCCAUAAGCUUGCUUUUGAGUAUGUUGUUCAGUUCCGGAGCUAUAGGAUUUCUUGAAAAAAACACUAUUCAGAUUAUUGUGCAUGUGUGAUGGAGUUAAUGAAAAAGGCAGCCUUGCAGUGUAGUUGACCGUUUCACUGCUGAAAUUAGUCUUGAACAUAAUGAUGGAGGUCUUUGAACUGAAAUUCUGUUAAGCUGUUUUCACAUGUCUAUGUUUUAAGAUAGCUGCAUAAAUGUUAUUGUGUGCUGGUAAAUUUUCUUUAGGUGAAAAUAACAGGCUAAGAAAAUUCUGUUAUUGAAUAUAUUCCUAAAUGCAUCGUGCGCUCCUUUGCUUUAUUUUCAUUCUCCCUUGAAGGCCUGCACUACUUGCUUAUUUAACUGUUAUUUUGGUGAUAGAGAAUGAUGCCCUGCCUCUCUUACUCGAGUUUUGAGAUUUACGUUUAAUCUCUUCUAUAACUCUUUCCUCCUAUUUCACCCUGACCGUCAGAUGCGAUUGUUUCUUUUUCACCUGCUGGUUGUCUAGAUGGGCCAGUGACUUAAUUGACUGCUGCUACUGUAUUUUACAAUUGAAAUUCCUUUUUCUAGCUCUAAUUGCCUGCUCCUGCUGGAUUUAAUGUGUUACAUGUCUUAGUUCUUGAUGUAUAUGUAUGGUUUCUUGCCUGGCCUCAGAAGAUCCACUUACAAGGUGGUUUCCUACUUUUUAUUCAAAUCACACUGUUGUUGAUUUUCUUGACAUAUCUUAUUAUUCUUGCCUUCCAUAAGUGCAUCCAUCGUGUUAAAUUUAAGACAUUCCUUUCUUCCCCACUUUCAUGUUAGUUACUUCUUUUUACACAAUAUCUAUGCCAGUUUGACUUAUGAAUAAUCACAUCAGUUCUUUGGAUCUGGUGGACUUGAAUAAUUAGCUCUCACCUUUAGAUUGAGAAUAUCCAGUAUAGAGGAUUAGUUUCAUGGUUUCAAAAUCUGAGAUUGACGGAUCUGCUCUUAAUAUUAAUGCUUAGAUGCACCAGUGAAUUCAGUUUCUUUCCGUGCUCUUAAUAUUCAGGUGUUUAGCUAUGAAAGAUGAUGAUUAUGGAGCUAUUUCCUUUCUACACUUCCUGUCUUGUUUACUUGGAGCUGUUUUACCAUCUUUUGGAUCUAUUUCUGAUGCCUACCUCGCGUUGUGUUUAUGUUUGACUUUACCCACCCUUAUUAUUUGUCGUGCCUACUCUAGAGCCCGUUGCAGCACCAAAUCUCUUUUGUGGAAAAAGUGCAGAAGUGAUACUGAAUUUGCCUUUCUACUAUAACGUUUUACAUGUUUCUGGUUAUAUCAUUUCGGCAACACUGAUAGGAUUGUCACGUAAAUACUUCCAGGUUUAGUACGUAGAGGCUGAACAUGUACUAAAUAUGCUUUUAGCACUAAGCUGUUGUUGAUUGUCACCUUACUCAGUUUUCUAGAAAUUGCCUGCAGGAAGGAACAAUAUGUGAUGCUGAUCUUGUGAUUAGUGUUGCUGGUGAUGUCAUACUUGCAUGGGCUAACCAUUUGUUCGAUAACUUGAUUCCCAUUGUAAGGUGUUAAGUCUGGAUCGUAUUUGUUCUGAUGAGGGUGUGGUGCGGUUUUCAGAGUUCCAAUCCUGAGGAUUUCGUACCAGUAAUAUUGCAGUGUGGUCCAGAGCAAAGGUUGAAUGGAGUGCUGAGGACUUUUGGAGGGUGGCCAGUAGGAUGAGUUGGAUCUGUUCUUCGUAGCAAAGGUGAUGUCGUUGCAGAUAGGUACCUGAAGCAAAGCAUGCAAUAGCUCGUUUAUCCCUGUUUACCUUGGCACCGGAUUGAUGGACCUCUAUAUACGCAUGGAAAUAAAUAAGUAUGUAUUCUACGGAUAAUAUUUGUGUUGUAUGCAUCUCAAAUUGGCCUGGGAUGGCAAUGCGAGGUUGAACUCUCUCGUUAUCUACCUCGCCUUUCUAAACUUGUUUUGCUGCUAGCUUGAGAGUAUAACAGUGGAUAAUCACCAUUAGCACAAUGGGACAAGAACUCAUGAUGAAGCCGACAUAAUUCGCUAGGAUAAUCACCAUUUGAAAAAAAGGGUGUAUGCAUAAGAAGAAUCAGAUUAGCAACAGUACCUUAGUUAGGCAUGGAGGUUCUGCUCGACAAGCUCUUUGUGCCCAAGCUCGAAAGUGUUUUCUAUUGCAACCAGGUCCGUGUUCUUUGCCAUAGCUGCCUCACUUAAAACAGCAAUUGUCACUCAACAGCAAGUCUCCACAACCGUAGAAAGGGGGCAGCAGGGCUCACGAUGCAAGUAUUCAAUUCUGUAUAUGGAUAAGGCCGCACCACAAAAGAUUCACUUUGAGGGUGGAGAAGGGUGAACUGUUGAUCCAUACAUUGUCCCCAAAGUUAUUUACUGGCUGCAAUUUUAUUUUGUAGUUAUAUUUGCAAAUUUUUGUGGCGGGCAACAUAUGAGAGGCUGCUGACAACAAGAAUCAAGUUGGUCCAUGUUUUAUUUAAAUGCAUUUGACACUGUUGUCAUACUAAGAACAAAAUCAUUUUUCAUGACAUAGUUGUCAUGCAAACGUCCUCGGUGGUGGUAAAUAAGCUGUGGAGCAGUUUUGAUUGAUCUGGGUAUUUCUAUGCUCAUUGUAUUAUUGGAACUGAAUUGUGUGGGGGCAUUGUUGAUGCAUUUUGA